rnacentral:rRNA from 1 species
UACAGAGGGGGCAAGCGUUGUUCGGAAUUACUGGGCGUAAAGGGCGCGUAGGCGGCCCUUCUAAGUCGAACGUGAAAUCCCCGGGCUCAACCCGGGAACUGCGUCCGAUACUGGAAGGCUUGAAUCCGGGAGAGGGAUGCGGAAUUCCAGGUGUAGCGGUGAAAUGCGUAGAUAUCUGGAGGAACACCGGUGGCGAAGGCGGCAUCCUGGACCGGCAUUGACGCUGAGGCGCGAAAGCCAGGGGAGCAAACGGG